rnacentral:rRNA from 1 species
GAAAGUCUGASGGAGCAACGCCGCGUGAGCGAUGAAGGCCUUCGGGUCGUAAAGCUCUGUUGUUAGGGAAGAACAAGUAYCGGAGUAACUGCCGGUACCUUGACGGUACCUAACCAGAAAGCCACGGCUAACUACGUGCCAGCAGCCGCGGUAAUACGUAGGUGGCAAGCGUUGUCCGGAAUUAUUGGGCGUAAAGCGCGCGCAGGCGGUCCUUUAAGUCUGAUGUGAAAGCCCHCGGCUCAACCGUGGAGGGUCAUUGGAAACUGGGGGACUUGAGUGCAGAAGAGGAAAGCGGAAUUCCMCGUGUAGCGGUGAAAUGCGUAGAGAUGUGGAGGAACACCAGUGGCGAAGGCGGCUUUCUGGUCUGUAACUGACGCUGAGGCGCGAAAGCGUGGGGAGCAAACAGGAUUAGAUACCCUGGUAGUCCACGCCGUAAACGAUGAGUGCUAAGUGUUAGAGGGUUUCCGCCCUUUAGUGCUGCAGCUAACGCAUUAAGCACUCCGCCU